CUUGCUUUCUUUGCUGGCGACCGGCGCACGGGUGAGUAACACGUAUCCAACCUGCCCUUUACUCGGGGAUAGCCUUUCGAAAGAAAGAUUAAUACCCGAUGGCAUAAUGAUUCCGCAUGGUUUCAUUAUUAAAGGAUUCCGGUAAAGGAUGGGGAUGCGUUCCAUUAGGUUGUUGGUGAGGUAACGGCUCACCAAGCCUUCGAUGGAUAGGGGUUCUGAGAGGAAGGUCCCCCACAUUGGAACUGAGACACGGUCCAAACUCCUACGGGAGGCAGCAUG
rnacentral:rRNA from 1 species